UUCCCCAAACCCAUCAGCUCACCUCACACCCCCUCCCUUUUUUUCCUUUCUGUACCCUUAAAACCUCCCUCCUUUUCGAGAUCGGGGCUUCUCUGCUCUCCUGCUGCGCCAGGACCAAGAAGCCCGGGUUCGGGCUUGUAAAUAAACAACCUCUCGCUUUUGCAUCGGACUUGGUCUCCAGGUGAUUUACGUGGGGGAUCCCGUGACUCCGGCACAACAUUUAGGGGCUUGUCUGGGAUAACCCCCCUAAAUCACCAAGUACCUGCUCCAGAGGUGUGUACGUGCCGGCCUUUGUCUUGUCCUGUUCCGUGUUAGUUCCAUUUGUUGAAUCUGUAGUCGGGAUGUGGAAUCCCCGACAGAGUAGAAGUGGGGAUGCCCCUUGAAUGGAACCUCAGUCCAUGGUCAAGAAUAUCACGGGGAGGCAAUCCUUCUGGUUGAGAGACAAGGCAGGUUGCAACCGCCAGACGGGGUUACGCCGUCGUCUCAUUUUCAGUUUUGCCUGAGAACCUGCAAGGGCAGGCUUCUGUCUUCUGGAGGAAUCUUGGGUGUUGUUUUGUCUGUGUUUUAUUAUAUUUGGAGGGCGACAUGGGACAGAUGCAGAUGACCCCCCUCUCCCUAACUUUGACUCAUUUCCAGGACUUCAAAGACAAAGCCUGAGAGUACAACUUUAAUGUGUCCAGAGGUAAACUUGUGAUUUUUUGCAGGAAUGAAUGGCCGGUGUACCACGUGGGAUGGCCACCAGAGGGCACUUUUCAUCUCCCCAUUAUCUUUCCAGGUCAAAGAUAUAGUCCAUUGAUCUGGGACCAGGCACCCGGACCAGAUCCCAUAUAUAACUGCUUGGCAGGACCUCAUGGAGGACCCGCCAUUGUGGUUAAAACCCCUCCUUCCUCUGUCAGGCAAGGAAGUAGCUAAACUCCUAGCCUUGAAGGAGAAAAAGGAGAAGUCCCCUGAACCCACUGCCCCUCCCCUGGUCCUCCAAGGAGGAACUGAUCCAGAAGUGCUCUUCCCCCCUCCCUGUCAACCCUCACCUAGGGGGGCACCUGUUCCUCAGAGUCCACCAGGCAGCGAGGUCACUCCAGCCCCAGGUCCAGUGGGUAGCCACCGGAGCCCACCUCACACCGAGCGCCUCACAAUCCGAUGGCAGAUUCCACAGUGCUGCCUCUCUGAGCGGGCCCCCCUAAUGGAGCAGACCCCCCGAAUCAGCUGCACCAGUAUUGGCCCUUUGCCACAAGUGGUCUCUAUAACUGGAAAAUGCAGAACCCUAAGUUCUCCGAAAAACCUACUGCCUUGAUUGACCUCUUAGACUCAAUUCUUUUUACCCACUAGCCUACCUGGGAUGACUGUCACCAACUGUUACAGGUUCUUUUCACCACUGAGGAAUGGAACCACAUCUUGGCUGAGGCCAGGAAGGCUGUCGAGGGUGCAGAUGGAAGCCCCACCACCAACCUGGCUCUUAUUGAUGCCGCUUUUCCUCUUACUCACCUCGAUUGGGACUUUAAUACGGGAACAGGUCAGGUAGGACUCCAAGUCUACAGCCAGACUCUGAUGAGGGGUCUCCGUAAAGUUUGGCUAAGGUAGGUAAUGUACAGCAGGAAAAGACAGAACCCCCAGCAGGUUUCUUAGAAAGAAUUAUAGAGGCAUUCCGCAUGCACACACCCCUAGACCCUGAAGCUGAGGAGAAUACAGCAGCAGUUGUCAUGUUCUUUGUUAACCCGUCAGCUCCAGACAUUAAGCGCAAGCUGCAGAGAAUAGAUAGACUGGGUGAGAAGUCUUUGCAGGACCUCCUAGAAGUUGCUGAAAGAGUCUACAACAACUGUGAAACCCCCAAAGAAAAGCAAAUGAAAGCAGCUAAAAGACAGACCCAAGAAUUAACCAGGAUCCUCCUGGCCUCCACGUCCGUGACCUCAGAUGAAAGAGAAAGGCACUACUCCAACUGGCGGCAGGAGGUAAGGAGGACUACUAGGUGGGGAAAGGCUCCGCCUCCAGAAGGACCAGUGCGCCUAUUGUAAGGAACAUGGACACUGGGCCCGUGAGUGCCCCAAGAAACCACCUCCCAGACCUUCAUGCCCUCCCUCAGUGCCAAUCUUGGAACUAAGCGGGUUCAAAGGGUAGGGGGGUCAGGGCUCGCCACCCCUCCCUGAGCCCCGGGUAACUCUCAGAGUGGAGGGGACCCCAAUUAAUUUCCUGGUAGAUAUUGGAGCCCAGCAUUCAGUCCUGACACAGGACCACGGCCCUAUGGAUCCCGAAAAUCAUGGGUCCAGGGGGCCACAGGCAUCAAACAAUAUUCAUGGACUACCUGAAGAACCCUGGACUUAGGUAUGGGCUGGGUAUCCCAUGCGUUCAUAGUCAUCCCAGACUGCCCCUACCCCCUCCUUGGGUGUGACUUCCUAACCAAGGUAGGGGCUCAUAUCGUCUUCAAAGAUGAAGGACCCCUUGUCACAGACCAGUAUGGGAGCCCCAUACAAAUACUCACCUUACAACUUGAACAUGAGUACAGACUGCACCAGCAGCAGCCUAAGAGCCAUCAGCUGACAGAUAUCACUGUAUGGCUGAAAACCUACCCACUUGCCUGGGCUGAGACUGGAGGAGUGGGGCUAGCUGCCCACCGACCACUGGUCAUCGUAGAGCUCAAGCCAAUAGCUGAACCCAUACGAGUACGGCAGUAUCCCAUGUCUCAAGAGGCCCGGUGGGGCAUCACGCCUCACAUCCGGAGGCUUUUUAAGAGCAGGAUACUAGUGCCCUGUCAAUCUGCAUGGAGCACUCCCCUGUUGCCUGUAAAGAAGCCACUGACUAAAUGACUACAGACCAGUCCAGGACCUAAAAGAGGUCAACAAGCAGAGCCAGGAAAUGUUUGCCUUUGAGUGGAACGAUGAAGAGCAAGGGAUCCAUGGUCAACUUACCUGGACCCGGCUGCUGCAAGGAUUUAAGAACUCCCCCACCAUUUUCAAUGAAGCCCUACAUGAGGACCUGAGUGAGUACCGGCAGCAGCACCCUCACCUGACUCUUUUACAGUAUGGAGAUGACAUUCUGAUUGCAGCCGAGACAGAAGCAGAAUGCCACCAAGGCACCCAGGACUUGCUGACUGCACUAGGAGCUCUGGGGUACCGGGCCUCUGCCAAGAAAGCUCAGAUUUGUCAAUGAACUGUGAGUUAUCUGGGGUACAUCCUUAAGAAUGGGCAGUGGUGGCUGUCCCAGGCAAGAAAAGAAACAGUUCUGAAAAUCCCCCCUCCCCGGCCCCCACCGACCACACAGCGAGUGGUGCAGGAGUUCCUUGGGUCAGCCGGGUUAUGCCGUCUGUGGAUUCCGGGGUUCGUGGAGAUAGCAAAGCCCCUCUGUGAGGCCACCCAGGACAGCCUGCCUUUCCAGUGAAGUGCAGAACAAGAAAGAGCCUUCCAGGCCCUGAAAAGGGCCUUGGUCUCUGCCCCAGCGCUAGGACUCCCAGAUAUUACCAAGCUCUUUCAUCUGUAUGUAGAUGAGCAGAAAGGAAUAGCAAAAGGAGUGCUUGCUCAAUCACUUGGUCCCUGAACCCGGCCGGUCACCUACCUGUCAAAGAAACUAGACCCUGUAGGGGCAGGCUGUCCCCCAUGCCUACACACAUCAUUGCAGCUACUGCAUUGCUGGUUUAAAAUGCAGAUAAAUUGACUUUAAGGCAGGAGCUAUUGAUCACGACCCCUCAUGCCAUUGAGGGAGUCCUCAAACAGCCACCAGAUCAGUGGGUUAGCCAUGCCCGACUCUCCCACUACCAGGGCCUUCUGCCGAACCCUCCACAAAUCUGAUUCCUGCCAAAGAUCUCACUCAAUCCGGUGACCCUACUGCUGGAUCUGGACCUAGACGCCCACCCCCCAUGACUGUGUUGACAUCCUAGCCCAGGUUCACAGCGUACGCCAGGACCUUAUGGACCAACCCCUCCCUGACAUGGAGGCCACCUGGUACACAGAUGGGAGCAGCUUCAUACAAGAUGGAUGCAGACCCUGGAUCCCCAACACUUCCACCAUUCCCGGACUAGAAGACCUAAAAUGGAUAAAGCAGAUCCCACAGGCCCACUCCCCUGAGAAGUACAAUGGAUGGUACGUCACCUGUGAUGGCAAAGUGCUUGUGCCAGCAAAACUGGGACAGGAAAUCCUCCAUAGGAUCCAUUCAUCCACCCACCUAGGGUCACGCAAAAUGAAGAACUUGCUGCGCCAUGCCAAAAUCAAAAUACAAAACCAGAAUACUAAAAUUGAUGAGGUCGUAACUUCAUGCAAAGUAUGCAUUAUGACUAACAGUGUAUCUAGUUUCCACAAUUCAGGAUCCAGAGAGCAGGGAACGGAGCCAGGUGCAUACUGGGAAGUGGACUUUACUGAAGUUAAGCCAGGCACAGUGAGCUGAUUGGGAGAAACUUAUAGCCCUCUACAGUUCAGGACCUGUCCCUGAACCACAUGCUUUCUGGCCUGGAGACUGGGUGUACAUGAAACGUCACCCACAAAAAACGCUGGAGUCCCAGUAGAAGGGUCCAUACACCGUGGUCCUCAUUACCCCUACCACACUCAAGGUUGAUGGCAUCACCUCCUGGAUACAUCACACGCACGUUAGCCUAGCCUACCUGUUCGCCAUCAAAGAAGACUCCACCUCCCAGCGGAAACUCUGACGGGGCCCUGAUAACCCACUGAAGCUUAAACUGUGGAAAUGCCAAGAUCCCUGAUGCCACCAUAUGUGUACUACUUACUGACUUAUUCUGCCUUGCUGAUUAUACCCCUCACUGCUAACCCUCAUCACCCCGUAAAGAUAACGUGGCUAGUUAUAGAUGCUAGCACAGGGACAGUGCUCAACCAGACCUCUGGAGUUCACCCUAAGGGUACUUGGUUCCCGGAGCUUAUAGACGACCUACAUAAUCUGGUAGGAAUUAGACCCUGCCCCUCAGGGUAGCAGUCAUAUUGGUCCAGCAAUACUCUAACCAGGUACUUUUAUGUCUGCCCCAGUCACCUUCCUAAUAAGUGUGGGGGAGCAAGUUCAUAUUUAUGUAACUCAUGGAACUAUGUUUCUACUAGGCAAUUAUGGUGGAACCCCCCAAGACAAGGAGACUUGAUCCUAGUAAAGAGGAAGGAUGUUUGGAAAGGGCACGCACUCCUGUGCAGGAGGCCCCAAACCUGACACAGUCAGUAUCACCUUUACGGAGAAAGGAAAGUGAAUGCUAGAUUGGGAACUCGGCAAAUGGUGGGGUGUGAGACUGUAUAACAUGCACGGCACGGACCCGGGUAAUAUUUUCCAACUCAAAAUCUUAUACACCCCUGUUAGUGAUAAGCCUGCUGCAGUGGGCCUCAAUAUAGUGCUUCAGCCUCCCCUGUAGUCACCUCUAAGCUCCGUGGCUCCCCUGACUCUCCGGACUGGGCUCCCCUGACCCUCCGGACUGAGCAUUUAGUACCCAAAGUCUAAUUCUAAGCACCACACCUGUGCCUACCACAGAUCCUGAUCCACUUUGGAAAUUAGUCAUUGCUACAUACCAGGUCUUAAAUACUUCCAGACCAGACCUUACUGAGUCCUGUUGGUUAUGUGUAGAAGCCAGACCCCCAUACUAUGAGGGAAUUGCCCUAAUAAGGAAACCUAAGAUCAACUCUCAAGCUAGUGACUGCUGUUGGCAACAGUCUAAGCCCCGAGUCACCCUACAGUCCUUUAUAGGACAAGGAACCUGUAUGGGUCAGACACUCCCCCAAUACCAGCAUCUAUGUAAUCAAACUCUCACCUGGGAUGGGACUGGAUCUGUAAUUCCUACCAACAAUUCCUGGUGGGCUUGUUCAACAGGGCUCACCCCAUGUCUACAAGGGGCAGUCCUUGAUUUAACCUGGAGCUUUUGUGUCUUAGCGCAGCUCAUCCCCAAGCUGGUCUGUCACUCAGAGGAGGACUUAUAUCAGGCAUAUGAGUUAGCUGCAGGCACACUUACAAGCACCAAGAGAGAACCAGUCACAGCAAUAACUCUAGCCAUGCUCAUGGGACUGGGUAUAGCAGGAGCAGGCACAGGAAUCUCCUCCUUAGUCCUAUAAGACAAGAACUACGGAGCUCUGCGCGCUGCAAUAGACUUAGACAUAGAAAGAAUAGAAAACUCCAUUUCCCACCUUCAAGAGUCCCUAACUUCCCUCUCUGAAAUAGUACUCCAAAAUAGGCAAGGGCUAGACUUACUGUUCCCUCAGGAAGGUGGAUUAUGCGCAGCCCUAGGAGAAGAAUGCUGUUUUUAUACUGACCACUCAGGAGUAGUCAAACAGUCCAUGCAGUUAGUGAGAGAAGGUCUCCACAAAAGAAAACUCAAGCGGGAGCAGUCUCAGAGCUGGUAUGAAUCUUUGUUCAACAAGUCACCCUGGCUCACAACUUUAAUUUCAAUCAAUAGCGGGCCCACUUGUAAUCCUAUUACUGCUAUUAACUUUUGGCCCCUGCAUAAUUAAUAAAUUACUGGCUUUCAUCUGAGCUAGAAUUAAUACUGUUCAAUUGAUGGUCUUACAGGCACAGUAUAGCCCCCUCGGCACUGAAAACACCAGCAAUGGGCAUAGAGCUAGGGCUCAUAAAAUGCACUGAAGACCCAUGAUUGGAUCUUCUAUGCACCAGAAAUGGGAGGAAUGUAAGAACCAAGUUAACUCCAUUUUGUUAAAACUAACUUCAUCUUGUCCCUCAGCCUUCAUUUUGUAGCUGCAUACCAAAGGCAUUAGGCAACCUGUUCCCUCCCCCGAUGCCCAUCCUUGCCCCAUGAUCCAUGCUGUUACACAACAUCUGCUCCGAGCGAUAACAGCACUCUCCAGACAGCCAAGGACAAAUACUGCUCAGUUCCCCAAACCCCCUAUCAGCUCGCCUCAGCGGCUCACCUCACACCCCCUCCCUUUUUUCCUUUCUGUACCCUUACAACCUCCCUCCUUUUCGAGGUUGGGGCUUCUCUGCUCUCCUGCUGCACCAGGACCAGGAAGCUUGGGUUCGAGCUUGUAAAUAAACAACCUCUUGCUUUUGC